rnacentral:rRNA from 1 species
AACGAACGCUGGCGGCAUACCUAACACAUGCAAGUCGAACGAGACCUUCGGGUCUAGUGGCGCACGGGUGCGUAACGCGUGGGAACCUACCCUUAGGUUCGGAAUAACUCCCCGAAAGGGGUGCUAAUACCGGAUAAUGUCUUCGGACCAAAGAUUUAUCGCCUUUGGAUGGGCCCGCGUUGGAUUAGCUAGUUGGUAGGGUAAAAGCCUACCAAGGCGACGAUCCAUAGCUGGUCUGAGAGGAUGAUCAGCCACACUGGGACUGAGACACGGCCCAGACUCCUACGGGAGGCAGCAGUGGGGAAUAUUGGACAAUGGGCGAAAGCCUGAUCCAGCAAUGCCGCGUGAGUGAUGAAGGCCUUAGGGUUGUAAAGCUCUUUUACCCGGGAUGAUAAUGACAGUACCGGGAGAAUAAGCUCCGGCUAACUCCGUG